AGUGAACGCUGGCGGUAGGCCUAACACAUGCAAGUCGAACGGCAGCACAGUAAGAGCUUGCUCUUACGGGUGGCGAGUGGCGGACGGGUGAGGAAUACAUCGGAAUCUACUUUUUCGUGGGGGAUAACGUAGGGAAACUUACGCUAAUACCGCAUACGACCUACGGGUGAAAGCAGGGGAUCUUCGGACCUUGCGCGAUUGAAUGAGCCGAUGUCGGAUUAGCUAGUUGGCGGGGUAAAAGCCCACCAAGGCGACGAUCCGUAGCUGGUCUGAGAGGAUGAUCAGCCACACUGGAACUGAGACACGGUCCAGACUCCUACGGGAGGCAGCAGUGGGGAAUAUUGGACAAUGGGCGCAAGCCUGAUCCAGCCAUACCGCGUGGGUGAAGAAGGCCUUCGGGUUGUAAAGUCCUUUUGUUGGGAAAGAAAAGCAGCAGGUUAAUACCCCGCUGUUCUGACGGUACCCAAAGAAUAAGCACCGGCUAACUUCGUG
rnacentral:rRNA from 1 species